rnacentral:rRNA from 1 species
CUAUGCGCCUUGCCAGCCCGCUCAGUCAGAGUUUGAUCCUGGCUCAGGACGAACGCUGGCGGCGUGCUUAACACAUGCAAGUCGAACGGAAAGGCCCAGCUUGCUGGGUACUCGAGUGGCGAACGGGUGAGUAACACGUGGGUGAUCUGCCCUGAACUCUGGGAUAAGCCUGGGAAACUGGGUCUAAUACCGGAUAUGACCACAUGUCGCAUGGUGUGUGGUGGAAAGCUUUUGCGGUUUGGGAUGGGCCCGCGGCCUAUCAGCUUGUUGGUGGGUAAUGCCUACCAAGGCGACGACGGGUAGCCGACCUGAGAGGGUGAUCGGCCACACUGGGACUAAGACACGGCCCAG